UGAUGGGAUAGAAGAUAGGUACAGCGUGCUGAUCGAGCUUGUCGAUCAAAAGGCUGCCGAUGGUUUCUAUUGCACCUUCAAUGGCAAGAAUUUUUCGCCUGCUGAGGCUGAGGUAUGCCAUAUUCUAUUUCUGCACGAAGUGGACUAUACGGAAUCAGCUGAUGUAGCUAGCACGCCCCCUUCGGGCUUUACGGAGCUACCUUCUUGUCCAGUUUGUCUUGAGAGAUUGGACCCAGAUAACAGUGGAAUUUUGAGUACGCAGUGUGACCAUUCCUUUCAUUGCUCAUGUGGUACAAAAUGGACUUACUUGUCUUGUCAGGUUUGCCGACUAUGCCAACAGCAAGAUGAGAUACAAAGAUAAGCA